rnacentral:rRNA from 1 species
AUUGAACGCUGGCGGCAUGCCUUACACAUGCAAGUCGAACGGCAGCGGGGACUUCGGUCCGCCGGCGAGUGGCGAACGGGUGAGUAAUGUAUCGGAACGUACCAUUGAGUGGGGGAUAACGUAGCGAAAGUUACGCUAAUACCGCAUAUUCUCUCCGGAGGAAAGCAGGGGACCGCACGGCCUUGCGCUCUUUGAGCGGCCGAUAUCAGAUUAGCUAGUUGGUGAGGUAAAGGCUCACCAAGGCGACGAUCUGUAGCGGGUCUGAGAGGAGGAGCCGCCACACUGGAACUGAGACACGGUCCAGACUCCUACGGGAGGCAGCAGUGGGGAAUUUUGGACAAUGGGGGCAACCCUGAUCCAGCCAUGCCGCGUGAGUGAAGAAGGCCUUCGGGUUGUAAAGCUCUUUCGGCCGGGAAAAAAUCGCAUGGGCUAAUACCCUGUGUGGAUGAUGGUACCGGAAUAAGAAGCGCCGGCUAACUACGUGCCAGCAGCCGCCGUAA